rnacentral:rRNA from 1 species
GACGAACGCUGGCGGCGUGCUUAACACAUGCAAGUCGAACGAAGUGGCGAACGGGUGAGUAACGCGUAAUCAACCUGCCCUUCAGAGGGGGACAACAGUUGGAAACGACUGCUAAUACCGCAUACUGAAGGAGGGGAUUGCGUCUGAUUAGCUAGUUGGAGGGGUAACGGCCCACCAAGGCGGUGAUCAGUAGCGGGUAUGAGAGGAUGAGAGGCUACAUUGGGACUGGGGCGCGGGCCAGACUCCUACGGGAGGCCGCAGUGGGGAAUCAUUCGGAAUGGGGGAAAGUCUGACGGAGCAACGCGGCGGGAGUGAUGACGGCCUUCGGGUUGUAAAGCGAUGUUAAUCGGGACGCGGUACCGGACAAGAAAGCCACGGCUAACUACGUGCCAGCAGCCGCGGUAAUUC